CCUACAGUGUUGACAGUUAGUGAACGCAUCAGUGAGAGGCACACAGUGCAGCAGGAUGGAGGGGCUGAGAUGUGUGAGUGAGAGUGUGUGAGCUUGAAGGACGAGAGACAGCACAGGAGAAGUUGUUAGUUCUUUCAUUUAAUCAUUUUGGUUUUGUUAGUGGGCGUGGUCACGGCCGACAGUGACCAGUUCAUAAAGCUCUUGUGUUCACUAAUCGGCUCGUCAUCAUUGCAGAGUCCGGACGGACGUUACAAUAUUAUAAAUCAUUUUAUCGACCGCGAUGAUCCAUUUGUUGAUUUAUGAAAAAACAAUGACAUCUCUCAGACUUCCUCAGCCCACCCCUCCCCUCCUGUUUGACCAAGGUUAUCAAAUGUUGCCAUUAGAGCUGACAGGAGUUGGAGAGAAGUGAGUGGAAAUGGAUAAACAACAAAAGCGCAAGGGGGGUGCAGAAAAGCUGCGAGAUAAAAAGCUAAAAACAAGUGGACAGCAAAAUGUCCCAAACUUACUGCCGUGUUUGCCAUCACCACCUCAAGUUAGACUGCGGCAGCAGGUGCGGCCCCUGUCCUCCAGGGGUGCUCCAGGGAUGUGCCUUUCAUCGGUGUGGACUUCACAGGCAUGCUUCACAUUUAGCACCAAGGUCCAUGCAGCCUUCUGUCUCAGCAUAUGUGCCACUUUGAUGAGGAGCUCUUUAUUUUACAGGGAUAUAUGGUCUUACUGUGGUCUUAAUUGUGUAUUUGUAUGAAC